CGAGAAGCUAAACGCUGACCUAGUGCCCCCUCAAAAGGAUGGAAGUCCUGGAACUAGUCAAACUGCGACAUCACGACCAGUGGGUGGUAGGCAGUCAUGCGCCUCAAACCAGUCAGAGGGAGAUAAUCUAUGCCCGGAGCAUGAGUAAUGAAGCUGUAGGGUGAACUAAGCUCUGUGCACAGUAGAAUGCCAAAUGGAUCUCUGAUAUCCGCCAAGAACAUCAACCAAGACAUAGCAUCUAUACACUCUGAUUGCUGAAAGGAGUAUGACAUGGCUAUAUAAUGGGUAAAGCAGUACCCGUGUCAGCGGAAGGUCACAAUCGGUCUCAAGUGUGACAUAAACCAUAUGUACCACAUGACUGAACUGCCUGUGAAUACCCCUGCAGGGUAAGUGCUGCAAAACG
rnacentral:lncRNA from 1 species